rnacentral:rRNA from 1 species
UACAGAGGGUGCGAGCGUUGUCCGGAAUUACUGGGCGUAAAGGGCGCGUAGGCGGCCUGAUAAGUCGGGGGUGAAAGUCAGCGGCUCAACCGCUGGACUGCCUUCGAGACUGUCGGGCUUGAGCAUGGUAGAGGCUGGCGGAAUUCCCGGUGUAGCGGUGGAAUGCGUAGAGAUCGGGGAAGAACAUCGGUGGCGAAGGCGGCCAGCUGGGCCAUUGCUGACGCUGAGGCGCGACAGCGUGGGGAGCAAACAGG